rnacentral:snoRNA from 1 species
GGUCAUUAUUUUAAGAGAAUCCUAAGGCUGAGCUUGGGCUCCUUUGGGCAUCCCCUUCAAGAAAAGAAUGGUGGGACAUAGCUGCACACAGGAGCCUCCUUGGAAGUGCAUGUACCCUGUUGCCAACAUGGUUGUCCUAGGAGACCUUGGAAACGAUA